GCCUGGGUGGCUCAGUGGUUGAGCAUCUGCCUUUGGCUCAGGUCAUGAUCCUGGGGUCCUGGGAUCGAGUCCCAAUCAGGCU
rnacentral:tRNA from 1 species